rnacentral:rRNA from 1 species
GAUCCUGGCUCAGGAUGAACGCUAGCGGCAGGCCUAAUACAUGCAAGUCGAACGGGAUUUCGGGUAGCAAUAUCUGGAUGAGAGUGGCGCACGGGUGCGUAACGCGUAUGCAAUCUACCGCUGACUGGGGGAUAGCCCUCCGAAAGGAGGAUUAACACCGCAUAACACUAUGAAGGGGCAUCUCUUUGUAGUCAAAACUCCGGUGGUCAGCGAUGAGCAUGCGUCCGAUUAGCUAGUUGGCGAGGUAACGGCUCACCAAGGCAACGAUCGGUAGGGGGUCUGAGAGGAUGAUCCCCCACACUGGUACUGAGACACGGACCAGACUCCUACGGGAGGCAGCAGUGAGGAAUAUUGGACAAUGGGCGCAAGCCUGAUCCAGCCAUGCCGCGUGCAGGAUGACGGUCCUAUGGAUUGUAAACUGCUUUUGUACGAGAAGAAACACUCCGACGUGUCGGAGCUUGACGGUAUCGUAAGAAUAAGGAUCGGCUAACUCCGUGCCAGCAGCCGCGGUAAUACGGAGGAUGCAAGCGUUAUCCGGAUUCAUUGGGUUUAAAGGGUGCGUAGGCGGCUUUUUAAGUCAGUGGUGAAAUCCUGCCGCUUAACGGUAGAAUUGCCAUUGAUACUGAAGAGCUUGAGUACAGUUGAGGUAGGCGGAAUGUGUAGUGUAGCGGUGAAAUGCUUAGAUAUUACACAGAACACCGAUUGCGAAGGCAGCUUACUAAACUGUUACUGACGCUGAUGCACGAAAGCGUGGGGAGCGAACAGGAUUAGAUACCCUGGUAGUCCACGCCGUAAACGAUGGAUACUAGCU